GGCUCGGUGGUGUAGUGGUAGCACGUUCUCUCAUUACCAGCUUCUUACUUACCUACCCAUGGCGUUGAAAAGCGACCACUCACAUUGCAGAAGCGAGGUAAUGCUAGGAAGGUUGUAGGUUCGAAUCCUACCCAGGCCC